rnacentral:rRNA from 1 species
UACGAAGGGGGCUAGCGUUGUUCGGAAUUACUGGGCGUAAAGCGCGCGCAGGCGGUCUUCCAAGUCAGUGGUGAAAGCCCGGAGCUCAACUCCGGAAUUGCCAUUGAAACUGUUAGACUUGAGGAUGAGAGAGGUGAGUGGAAUUCCCAGUGUAGAGGUGAAAUGCGUAGAUAUCGGGAGGAACACCUGUGGCGAAAGCGGCUCACUGGACCAUUACUGACGCUGAGGCUCGAAAGCUAGGGGAGCAAACAGG